AUAUAUACCAUAACAGAAAUAACCAGAUGCUCCGCAGGGCGCAGCUUUAUACGACCGUAGAGGUUGAACCCUGAACGGUUGGGGCAAGUAUGGACACAACAUUCAAGCUGGAUUCAGCUCUAAAUUUGGAUUGUGAUUAAAUAGUUGACACAGCAUAGGUUUCUGACACAGAAUGAAUGUGGUCUAAUGAACUUAAAUUAUUUUUUUUGCCUUUGAGCAAUUCACUAUGCUGUUGAAUAUUAAUCCUCUCAAAAAAAUGUUUGAAGAAAUUGUCUUUCUAUUUAUGAAAUCUGAAAUGAGAAAAAUUUACCCCCCCCCCAUUUUUUUUUCACAUCCCCCUUUCCCUUUUUCCAAAACUGAUCUCAAUUCAAAUUUCUAAUGGUGAAUAUACAUUGUAUAUUGUAUAAAACAAUGAUUUAAGUUGAUUCAACUACUAUUCUGGACAAAGAAAGAUAACUCCAAUUGAAAAUUUCUUGCUAUUGCACAAUAUUGUGCAAUUAGAUAUUUCUUACUAUUGCACAAUACUGUGCAAUUGAAAAUAUUUGCUAUUGCACAAUACUGUGCAAUUGAAGAUUUCUUGCUAUUGUGCAAUACUGUGCAAUUGAAAA
rnacentral:lncRNA from 1 species